rnacentral:lncRNA from 1 species
GGUAAUGCCAUUCUAACUUGGUAUCAAUAAAUCUAUAAAAAGGAAGUGAUCUCUUGUUUAUUCACAGAGAUAGUAUUCGGCAAGUUUAAUUUUGAUGGCUAAUUUGGUUCUUGAUUUUCUCUGCCUUCUAUAUCUGUUAUCUUCUUUUACUUUCUCACUGUUCAGCUACCAGAUUUGGUACCAUAAUAGGUAGAAGCCUCUCUAUCAUCAAAGCACUGAUUAAUCUUUCAGGAUGCUAGCACUAUACAAAUGCAGUUAUUUGCUUGCAUGAUAUUGGCCAGCAUGGACCACAAGUAAAUGUUCCUCUACUUUUGCAGACUAGUGUUUUGGAACUUGCUGAGGAACACCAAAUCCCAUGCUAAUAUCUCUCUAUUUUUGUAUCUUCUAUAUUGUAAAUAUCGCCCUAUAAUUGUAAUGCUAAGUCUAGUUGCUUUGGAAAGUGAAUGAAGUGCAAGGUUUUAAGUGCCGCCCCGUGCCGUACGCCCCGUGCCGUACGGCACGGGGCGUGCCGUACCGUGCCCCCAAGAAGGGAGCACGGUACAGGGGGGGUAUGGCACCCCCCCUGCGUCUCGCGGCAUGUUGUUGCGUGCCCCACGAGACAAAGCGGCACGCACCAACGUGCCGCCGGCACGUACCGGCGUGCCGCCGGUUUUUUUUAAUUUUUUUGGCUGUUUGGCUUUUUUUUUUUUGUUCUUUGGGAUACAGACCCCCCCCCCCCCCAGGCCAUCUAUAUUGUAUUUUUUUCAUUUUCUCUUAUUUUUUUGACAUCGUGAUUGCUUUUUGUCAACUCUUUUUUUUUUCUUCCUUUUGGCUUUUUUUUGGCCUUUUCUUUAUUAAAUUAAAAACUUAUAAUUUAACUUCUUAUUAUCUGAUCCAUACCGCCGGGGGUAAAGGCUUCGCCCCCCGCACCCCCCUCGGAUGUCUGUGGUGGAAGCGGAGGGCUCGGGCACCGUGAAACUUUUGGUGAAUCAGGGAAACAAAAAUUGAUUUUCUAAACAAAUUUUGAUCAUAUAUUUUUUUAAAGAAAAAAAAAAAAUGUAAUUGUGGUAUUAUUCUGGUUGUUCUAGUCAUUAUAUACUUCAUAAUCGAAUCAAUAUAUAGAAACAAAAGAAUAGUUGUACUUUUCAAAUAAAAAUAAAAGAAUUUUAAUUUCUAUUCUACAUCAGGUAUAGUUGUACUUUAUAUACAAAAUGAUUACAUGUAUGUUAAUUGAUGAAUAUAGUAAGCUAUACAUAGCAAAUAUUAAUAAUUAUUUGUCUAAAUCUUUUAAAAUAACAUUAUAAAAACUUAUUGGAACAAAAAAAACUUAAAUAAGUCCGUGCCAAAGCGUGCCAGUAGGAGGUCAUGCGUAUCCAUCGGCACGCGCAUGUACCACGUGUCGGCACGGAAGCGUGCCCGUGCCGUACCGUGCCAGAGAAAGAGCGGCACGCUCCCGUGCCACAGCACUUUAAACCUUGAUGAAGAGUACCAAAUCCAGUGCAAGAUCUGUAUCUUUUAUAUUGCCUGCCUUUAUAGAUUUACUGCUGUAUAAUCUGGAUCUUUCACAAAUCCACUUAAAUAGGGUAUAAAAUGCCUAGAUGGCUGAAUUGUCAAAAUAUUUUCUGCAAAGUAAGUGGUUGCAAUAAUUUAUGUUAUGUUCUAUGUCACACGCCUGUCCAAGUCUGAUGUACAUUGGAUGUAGGAUGCGCAGCCGAUGCGCUUCUGCUGCACGUCCCGAUAAAUUUUAAAAAAUAAAGAUGCAGCGGGGACUCGUGUGGUGCCAGCAAUGAUGAUGAUUUCAGAGAGAGAGAGGGAGGGAGGGAGGGAGACCGAGGCGAUACAGAAGCUCGGGUCAAAGUCACUUAGCUCUUUGGACUGAAAAAUUGAAAGACAGGUGAACCAGAAAAGAUAUUAAAAAAUCAAACCAGUCUGAUACAGUUUAACCAGUUGUUUGAAUAAUUAAAAAUUGUAGCCAAACAGGAAAUUCUUUAUUCUAGAAUCUUUGAACCCAAACCAAAUCGGUUUUGCAAAAAAAGUUUUUUAUUUGGUUAAAGUCUAUUUAUUAUCUUUAAAAUAUUAAUAUAAAUAAUAUACAUAUUACUAUAGUAAAAUUAAUAUUUUAUUAAUUCU